CCCUAUGGGGCGCCCGCAGGUGAUGGGGAACCAGUGAUGUCCCCACCUAGCGAUUGCCGUCUGCACUCAGGUCUUCGGUUUCCUCCUCAGGAAACCCUUUGGCUUGCUCUCCGAUUUCACCACGAUCCACAGAGGCUGGUUGUUUUCGAAGGCCCGUUCAACCCAUUCAAGGGCCAUCUCCCGGGUCAGCGGAUCCCGUCUCCCCUCGCCGUCCAUAACCACCCCCCAGGCUUCACCGACGUCAGCGGCAGGGAGAAUCACCAGCUUCUUGGAGCCCUCCUCUUUGGCCACGAGGUCACCGCCUCCACUCGUAAUGGGGGUGUCCAGGUAGCCGAACCAGGGAAUAUCUUGAACCUGGAAGCCCUCCCCGGUUCGAAGAGC
rnacentral:rRNA from 1 species